AAAAAUUUUAGGUACUGUCUAAUUGCAAACUACAGUAUGAUAACUUUUUGGGUACUGUCUAGCUGCUGAUUUGUAGCUAAACAGCACCUGAAAGUAUUUUUGGGUGCUAUCUACCUAUUGAUUUGUAGCUAAAACAGCACCUGGAAGUUCAAAGUGCUGUUUUCAUAGCAAAACUGUAGCAUGACAGCACCCAGCUGCUGCAUUUGUGUUAAAACAGCACCUGGAACUUCCAGUUGCUGUUAUAACAAUAAAAUUUUUUGAUUGCUAUCUACCUGCUGUAUUUGUGUUGAAAACAUAGAUUUUUUUUCAUAACACAAUCUAUAUGAUAAUUUCACAUGAAUAACAAUAAAAUUUCAUAAAAACAAAAUAAAAAGGUAAUGAAAACAAUGAAAGGGGUUAUAAGUAAUCAACUUUAGAAGCAUAUUAACAAGAGAGAAGACGCAACUCAUGGAUUGAGAUGGGGAAAGGAAAAAGAAAUGGGUCGAGUCAACCCGAACUUCAACCUGGCCACCGUUCACGAUUCCAGCCACCUCGCCAGCAACGGAAGGCAGCCACCCGAUCCCCAGGAGCUGCUGGUCACUUCCCUGUUAUCACCAUUGCAGGAAAAAGGCCAGAAACUGCCGUACAAAGCCAUGAUCAGUGAUGGAAAUUGCUGCAUUAGAUUGGCGUGAUUUCACCGGAUUUCUGACCAACACCACCUAGGUUUUGUCCCUCGCGGCAAUCAAUUCAAAAUCCGACUAUGAACAGCCACUAGAAGCCACCGUUUUGCCGCCGAACAUUCAUUAAGGUUUCACGAUUGUGGAAUCCCGAAUCCGCCACUGUGGCCGCGCGUGAGAGAAGGUGGCACCAACUCCAACACCGGCGCACCUGAACUGAGGUGACAACGGCAGUGGCAUGGGAGUGUGUACCGUGCGUAUGUGUGAAACAUUUCACUCUCUCUCUCUCGCACGAUGGGCAAAAGAGGAAUUAACUAGGGAUUACGUUAAUUUAUU
rnacentral:lncRNA from 1 species